UACGUAGGGCGCAAGCGUUGUCCGGAAUUAUUGGGCGUAAAGAGCUCGUAGGCGGUCCGUUGCGUCUGCCGUGAAAACCCGAGGCUUAACCUCGGGCCUGCGGUGGAUACGGGCGGACUAGAGGUAGGUAGGGGAGAAUGGAAUUCCCGGUGUAGCGGUGAAAUGCGCAGAUAUCGGGAGGAACACCGGUGGCGAAGGCGGUUCUCUGGGCCUUACCUGACGCUGAGGAGCGAAAGCGUGGGGAGCGAACAGG
rnacentral:rRNA from 1 species